UACGGAGGGUGCAAGCGUUGUUCGGAAUCACUGGGCGUAAAGCGCGUGUAGGCGGCCUUUUAAGUUCGAUGUGAAAGCCCGGGGCUCACCCCCGGAAGUGCAUUGGAUACUGGAAGGCUGGAGUACCGGAGAGGAGGGUGGAAUUCCUGGUGUAGCGGUGAAAUGCGUAGAUAUCAGGAGGAACACCUGUGGCGAAGGCGGCCCUCUGGACGGAUACUGACGCUGAGACGCGAAGGCGUGGGGAGCAAACAGG
rnacentral:rRNA from 1 species